CAUGUGCCUGUUUUCCCCAUC
rnacentral:miRNA from 1 species